rnacentral:rRNA from 1 species
CGGCGCACAUAAGACAUGCAAGUCGAACGGAAGUCGUUAUACUGAAUUUGAAAUGAACUGUGAACUUGUUCAGAGGGACUUGAUGAUGAUUAUAACAAUGGCUUUAGUGGCGGACUGGUGAGUAACGCGUAGGUAAUCUGCCUAACAGAGGGGAAUAACAGUGAGAAAUCAUUGCUAAUACCGCAUAUGCUCACGGUACCACAUGGUACAGUGAGGAAAGGAGAAAUCCGCUGAUAGAUGAGCCUGCGUCUGAUUAGCUAGUUGGUUAGGUAACGGCUGACCAAGGCAACGAUCAGUAGCCGGACUGAGAGGUUAAACGGCCACAUUGGGACUGAGAUACGGCCCAGACUCCUACGGGAGGCAGCAGUCGGGAAUAUUGCGCAAUGGAAGGAAACUCUGACGCAGUGACGCCGCGUAUAGGAAGAAGGUUUUCGGAUUGUAAACUAUUGUCGUUAGGGAAGAUAAAAGACAGUACCUAAGGAGGAAGCCCCGGCUAACUAUGUGCCAGCCGCAGC